rnacentral:lncRNA from 1 species
GAAGUGACAUACUUUAAGAAUACCAGAUUAAUCUGUUCUGAUUUUUUUAAUUCGCAGCUGGGAUAAAAAAAAGAGCCUUUUGAAGAGUCUUCAAAUCAACAGUAAUUUCAGAUUUUCACAACACGAAGAGGCAGAGCGCAAAGUGAAUUUGACACUUUGAAAAAUGCUACACAAGAACACUGAAGGCGUGAUAAGGACCUUUGUGAUCAUCGAUGCUAUUUCCAAUGGUGAAAGGGAGGCUCCGAAAAGUCAAGCGGCUCGUCCCAGGCCAUGUGGCGGGCUAAGGGCAGAGCCAGGGCUGCCGACCAUGUCUCCUGUCUCAGAGUCCCAGGAUCUUUCUCCUGGGAAGAUGUACGAUGUAUUUCCUCAGCACAAUGCUAGGUAUUAUUUCAGUUUUACUACUGUGCAAAGAUGCAAAAUUCCAAAGCUGCUACUGAAGAUUUCAGCCCUUCCAGCCCUUAGGUAGUUCUAUGCUGAGUCCUAAAAUGCUGGCUAUUGAACUCUUCAGAAUGGUGCCAUUGUUGGCAGAUCUCAAAUCCACACUAUUCUUCACCUGAUUCCCUGCCAAGUCCAUAAAGGUGUUUAUAUUUUUUAAAAACCCUGCAAUAAAAGUUUGAUUUCCUCAAGAGCAAUGUAUUUUCAGAAACCCAGAAGCUUUUUGUGAACAGCUCUUAUAAAGAAUCAGAAUAAGGUCGUCGUGUUUUACAGCAGCCUUAAG